UCCGAAGUUAAGCAUCAUUGGGCGCGGUCAGUACUUGGGUGGGUGACCACCUGGGAACACUGCGUGCCGUU